AACGAACGCUGGCGGCAUGCCUAACACAUGCAAGUCGAACGAGACCUUCGGGUCUAGUGGCGCACGGGUGCGUAACGCGUGGGAACCUGCCUUUAGGUUCGGAAUAACUCAGAGAAAUUUGAGCUAAUACCGGAUGAUGUCUUCGGACCAAAGAUUUAUCGCCUUUAGAUGGGCCCGCGUUGGAUUAGCUAGUUGGUGGGGUAAAGGCCUACCAAGGCGACGAUCCAUAGCUGGUCUGAGAGGAUGAUCAGCCACACUGGGACUGAGACACGGCCAGACUCCUACGGGAGGCAGCAGUGGGGAAUAUUGGACAAUGGGCGAAAGCCUGAUCCAGCAAUGCCGCGUGAGUGAUGAAGGCCUUAGGGUUGUAAAGCUCUUUUACCCGAGAUGAUAAUGACAGUAGCGGGAGAAUAAGCUCCGGCUAACUCCGUG
rnacentral:rRNA from 1 species